rnacentral:rRNA from 1 species
UACGAAGGGGGCUAGCGUUGCUCGGAAUUACUGGGCGUAAAGAGCGCGCAGGCGGUCGUUCAAGUCGCGUGUGAAAGCCCCCGGCUCAACUGGGGAGGGUCACUCGAUACUGAUCGACUUGAAGGCAGGAGAGGGAAGCGGAAUUCCCGGUGUAGUGGUGAAAUGCGUAGAUAUCGGGAGGAACACCAGUGGCGAAGGCGGCUUCCUGGCCUGUUCUUGACGCUGAGGCGCGAAAGCUAGGGGAGCAAAGCGGG